rnacentral:rRNA from 1 species
GGCGCACGGGUGAGUAACACGUAUGCAACUUACCCUGUACAGGGGGGUAACCCGGAGAAAUUCGGACUAAUACCCCAUAAAGAUAUCGAGGGGCAUCCUUUGAUAUUUAAAGCUCAGGCGGUACGGGAUGGGCAUGCGGAACAUUAGCUAGUUGGCAGGGUAACGGCCUACCAAGGCUACGAUGUUUAGGGGACCUGAGAGGGUGAUCCCCCACACUGGUACUGAGACACGGACCAGACUCCUACGGGAGGCAGCAGUGAGGAAUAUUGGUCAAUGGGCGCAAGCCUGAACCAGCCAUCCCGCGUGCAGGAAGACGGCCCUAUGGGUUGUAAACUGCUUUUCCAGGGGGAGAAUUUUUCUGUCGUGGCAGGAAUUGACGGUACCCUGGGAAUAAGCAUCGGCUAACUCCGUGCCAGCAGCCGCGGUAAUACGGAGGAUGCGAGCGUUAUCCGGAUUUAUUGGGUUUAAAGGGUGCGUAGGCGGAUUGAUAAGUCAGUGGUGAAAACCUGCAGCUUAACUGUAGACUUGCCGUUGAUACUGUCAGUCUUGAGUAUGGUCAAGGUAGGCGGAAUGUG